rnacentral:rRNA from 1 species
AUUGAACGCUGGCGGCAGGCCUAACACAUGCAAGUCGAGCGGAUGAAGGGAGCUUGCUCCUGGAUUCAGCGGCGGACGGGUGAGUAAUGCCUAGGAAUCUGCCUGGUAGUGGGGUAUAACGUCCGGAAACGGGCGCUAAUACCGCAUACGUCCUGAGGGAGAAAGUGGGGGAUCUUCGGACCUCACGCUAUCAGAUGAGCCUAGGUCGGAUUAGCUAGUUGGUGGGGUAAAGGCCUACCAAGGCGACGAUCCGUAACUGGUCUGAGAGGAUGAUCAGUCACACUGGAAAUGAGGAACGGUCCAGACUCCUACGGGAGGCAGCAGUGGGGAAUAUGGGACAAUGGGGGAAAGACUGAUGCAGCCAUGCCGCGUGUGUGAAGAAGGUCUUCGGAUUGUAAAGAACUUUAAGUUGGGAGGAAGGGCAGUAAGUUAAGACCUUGAUGUUUUGACGGUACCAACAGAAUAAGCACCGGCUAACUUCGUG